UACGAAGGGGGCUAGCGUUGCUCGGAAUCACUGGGCGUAAAGGGUGCGUAGGUGGGCAGGUAAGUCAGUGGUGAAAUCUCCGGGCUCAACCCGGAAACUGCCAUUGAUACUAUCAGUCUUGAAUAUCGUGGAGGUAAGCGGAAUAUGUCAUGUAGCGGUGAAAUGCUUAGAUAUGACAUAGAACACCAAUUGCGAAGGCAGCUCACUACACGAAUAUUGACACUGAGGCACGAAAGCGUGGGGAUCAAACAGG
rnacentral:rRNA from 1 species